GGGGCCGUAGUGUAGCUUGGUAUCACUUGAGGCUGGGGGUCUCAAAACCCGAGUUCGAAUCUCGGCGGUCCCA
rnacentral:tRNA from 1 species